rnacentral:tRNA from 10 species
GCGGACGUGGCGAAACUGGUAGACGCAAGAGACUUAAAAUCUCUCAGCCGCAAGGCUAUGCGGGUUCGAUCCCCGCCGUCCGCACCA